rnacentral:rRNA from 1 species
GUCUGAUGUGAAUCCCGAGGCCCAACCUCGGAACUGCAUUGGAAACUGAUUUACUUGAGUGCGAUAGAGGCAAGUGGAACUCCAUGUGUAGCGGUGAAAUGCGUAGAUAUGUGGAAGAACACCAGUGGCGAAAGCGGCUUGCUAGAUCGUAACUGACGUUGAGGCUCGAAAGUAUGGGUAGCAAACGGGAUUAGAUACCCCGGUAGUCCAUACCGUAAACGAUGGGUGCUAGUUGUUAAGA